rnacentral:rRNA from 1 species
UACGUAGGGCGCGAGCGUUGUCCGGAAUUAUUGGGCGUAAAGAGCUCGUAGGCGGCCUGUUGCGUCCGCUGUGAAAUCCCAGGGCUCAACCCUGGGCGUGCAGUGGAUACGGGCAGGCUGGAGGCAGGCAGGGGAGAACGGAAUUCCCGGUGUAGCGGUGGAAUGCGCAGAUAUCGGGAGGAACACCUGUGGCGAAAGCGGCUCACUGGACCAUAACUGACGCUGAGGCGCGAAAGCUAGGGGAGCAAACAGG